rnacentral:rRNA from 1 species
UACGGGGGGGGCAAGCGUUGUUCGGAAUUACUGGGCGUAAAGGGCCAGUAGGCGGCCAACUAAGUCGGAUGUGAAAUCCCCAGGCUUAACCUGGGAACUGCAUCCGAUACUGGAUGGCUUGAAUUCGGGAGAGGGAUGCAGAAUUCCAGGUGUAGCGGUGAAAUGCGUAGAUAUCUGGAGGAAUACCGGUGGCGAAGGCGGCAUCCUGGACCGGCAUUGACGCUGAGGAGCGAAAGCCAGGGGAGCAAAGCGGG